rnacentral:rRNA from 1 species
UGAAUACGAGAUGCUACGGCAUCGAAGCAGUCUAUGUCAUACUUCCAAGAAAAGCUUGCACUGUCAUAAACAAAUAAUGCCUGUACCAUAACCGACACAGGUGGGUAGGUAGAGUAUACUAAGGGGCGCGAGAUAACUCUCUCUAAGGAACUCGGCAAAAUGACUCCGUAACUUCGGGAGAAGGAGUGCCUUAUUUUAUAAGGUUGCAAUAACAAGAUCCAAGCAACUGUUUACCAAAAACACAGGUCUCCGCUAAGUCGUAAGACGAUGUAUGGGGGCUGACGCCUGCCCAGUGCCAGAAGGUUAAAGAAGUUGGUUAGCAUUAGCGAAGCUGAUAACUGAAGCCCUGGUGAACGGCGGCCGUAACUAUAACGGUCCUAAGGUAGCGAAAUUCCUUGUCGGGUAAGUUCCGACCCGCACGAAAGGCGUAAUGAUUUGGAUACUGUCUCGGAGAGGGGCUCGGUGAAAUAGACUUGUCUGUGAAGAUGCGGACUACCUGCACCAGGACAGAAAGACCCUAUGAAGCUUUACUGUAACUUGAGAUUGAAAUUGGACUUUAUUUGCGCAGUAUAGGUGGGAGACGUUGAAAAUAUUCUUGCGGGAAUAUUGGAGUCAUCAGUGAGAUACCACUCUUAUAAUGUUAGAUUUCUAACUUUGUAUCAUUAUCUGGUCAAAGAACAGUCUCAGGCGGGCAGUUUGACUGGGGCGGUCGCCUCCCAAACGGUAACGGAGGCGCACAAAGGUUUCCUCUGAACGUGUAGAAAUCGUAUCUAGAGUGUAAAGGCAUAAGGAAGCUUGACUGUGAGACCUACAAGUCGAGCAGGGACGAAAGUCGGUCUUAGUGAUCUGACGGUGCUGAGUGGAAAGGCCGUCACUCAACGGAUAAAAGUUACUCUAAGGAUAACAGGCUGAUCUCCCCCAAGAGUUCACAUCGACGGGGAGGUUUGGCACCUUGAUGUCGGCUCAUCGCAUCCUGGGGCGGUAGUACGUCCCAAGGGUUGGGCUGUUCGCCCAUGAAAGCGGUACGCGAGCUGGGUUCAGAACGUCGUGAGACAGUUCGGUCCAUAUCCGGUGUAGGCGUUAGAAUAUUGAGAGGAGCCUUCUUUAGUACGAGAGGACCGAGAAGGACAUACCUCUGGUGUACCAGUUAUCGUGCCAACGGUAAACGCUGGGUAGCUAUGUAUGGAGAGGAUAACCGCUGAAAGCAUCUAAGUGGGAAGCCCACCUCAAGAUGAGUAUUCUCAC